rnacentral:tRNA from 1 species
UGCGAUGUAGUGUAAUGGCAACACACCGCUCUCAUAAGGCGGAAGAUCCUGGUUCAAAUCCAGGUGUCGCAA